UCGCCUGUUUAUCAAAAACAUAACUAUAUGUAAAUAUAUAUAGCUAUUUCUGCUCAAUGGCUUGUUUAAAUAGCCGCAGUACUUUGACUGUGCAAAGGUAGCAUAAUCAGUUGGCUUUUAAUUAAAGUCUGGAAUGAAUGAAAGAUUGGGGGGUUCCUGUCUCCUUUAGAAGCAUUUGAAUUUUCUUAGGUGGUGAAAAUUCCAUCAAAAAGAUGUAAGACGAGAAGACCCUUGAAAUUUUUUGAAUAAUAUAAUACUAAUCAUUUUGUUGGGGCGACAAAGUAACAAUUGAACUUACUUUAAGUGUAAAAUUUGAAGCUAAUAUGCAUUUAAAUUAAAUUACUCAAGGGAUAACAGCAUAAUAUUGUAAAGUUUGUGACCUCGAUGUUGGACUAGGAUCAGGCAAUUG
rnacentral:rRNA from 1 species